rnacentral:rRNA from 1 species
GAUGAACGCUGGCGGCGUGCCUAAUACAUGCAAGUCGAGCGAACAGAUGAGAAGCUUGCUUCUCUGAUGUUAGCGGCGGACGGGUGAGUAACACGUGGGUAACCUACCUAUAAGACUGGGAUAACUCCGGGAAACCGGGGCUAAUACCGGAUAAUAUUUUGAACCGCAUGGUUCAAUAGUGAAAGACGGUUUCGGCUGUCACUUAUAGAUGGACCCGCGCCGUAUUAGCUAGUUGGUAAGGUAACGGCUUACCAAGGCGACGAUACGUAGCCGACCUGAGAGGGUGAUCGGCCACACUGGAACUGAGACACGGUCCAGACUCCUACGGGAGGCAGCAGUAGGGAAUCUUCCGCAAUGGGCGAAAGCCUGACGGAGCAACGCCGCGUGAGUGAUGAAGGUCUUCGGAUCGUAAAACUCUGUUGUUAGGGAAGAACAAAUUUGUUAGUAACUGAACAAGUCUUGACGGUACCUAACCAGAAAGCCACGGCUAACUACGUGCCAGCAGCCGCGGUAAUACGUAGGUGGCAAGCGUUAUCCGGAAUUAUUGGGCGUAAAGCGCGCGUAGGCGGUUUCUUAAGUCUGAUGUGAAAGCCCACGGCUCAACCGUGGAGGGUCAUUGGAAACUGGGAAACUUGAGUGCAGAAGAGGAGAGUGGAAUUCCAUGUGUAGCGGUGAAAUGCGCAGAGAUAUGGAGGAACACCAGUGGCGAAGGCGGCUCUCUGGUCUGUAACUGACGCUGAUGUGCGAAAGCGUGGGGAUCAAACAGGAUUAGAUACCCUGGUAGUCCACGCCGUAAACGAUGAGUGCUAAGUGUUAGGGGGUUUCCGCCCCUUAGUGCUGCAGCUAACGCAUUAAGCACUCCGCCUGGGGAGUACGACCGCAAGGUUGAAACUCAAAGGAAUUGACGGGGACCCGCA